rnacentral:sRNA from 1 species
CUAAAUUGGGGAAUAUUUCUUCAUAUCAUUUCACAUUUUGUGCAAAAAGCAAGACGUUGUUGAGAGUUUAAGGACACCACACUGUCAAAUUUGCAUUAUUCCAUGUUGCAUAAAAUGAGUCUGAGAGCGGUUUCAUCGUGGGUCUUAACCCCCAAGGGACAGAGAUGCCAGUCCCCGGGGAUUCCUGGACAGCUACUGAGACCUCUUCCCUUCCUAUAGGAUGGCCAGCCGGAGCAGUGACAAGGAUGGUGACUCUGUCCACACGGCCAGCGAAGUCCCGCUGACCCCACGGACCAAUUCCCCGGAUGGAAGACGCUCGUCCUCAGACACAUCCAAGUCUACAUACAGCCUGACGCGGAGGAUUUCGAGUCUUGAGUCAAGACGUCCCAGCUCUCCACUCAUCGAUAUUAAACCCAUCGAGUUUGGUGUUCUCAGCGCCAAGAAGGAGCCCAUCCAACCUUCGGUGCUCAGACGGACCUAUAACCCCGACGACUAUUUCAGGAAGUUCGAACCCCACCUGUACUCCCUCGACUCCAACAGCGACGACGUGGACUCUCUGACAGACGAGGAGAUCCUGUCCAAGUACCAGCUGGGCAUGCUGCACUUCAGCACUCAGUACGACCUGCUGCACAACCACCUCACCGUGCGCGUGAUCGAGGCCAGGGACCUGCCACCUCCCAUCUCCCACGACGGCUCGCGCCAGGACAUGGCGCACUCCAACCCCUACGUCAAGAUCUGUCUCCUGCCGGACCAGAAGAACUCAAAGCAGACCGGGGUCAAACGCAAGACCCAGAAGCCCGUGUUUGAGGAGCGCUACACCUUCGAGAUCCCCUUCCUGGAGGCCCAGAGGAGGACCCUGCUCCUGACCG